UACGAAGGGGGCUAGCGUUGCUCGGAAUUACUGGGCGUAAAGGGCGCGUAGGCGGAUACUUAAGUCGGGGGUGAAAGCCCGGGGCUCAACCCUGAAUCGGCCGUCGAUACUCCCGGGCUUGAGCACUGUAGAGGCAGAUGGAAUUCCGGGUGUAGCGGUGGAAUGCGUAGAGAUCCGGAAGAACACCGGUGGCGAAGGCGGUCUGCUGGGCAGUGAGCUGACACUGAGGCGCGACAGCGUGGGGAGCAAACAGG
rnacentral:rRNA from 1 species